rnacentral:rRNA from 1 species
UGCCCUCCGCAGGGGGAUAACCCGGAGAAAUCCGGACUAAUACCGCAUGGUACACUUGUGGGGCAUCCCACGGGUGUUAAAAGGAAGUGAUUCCGGCGGAGGAUGGGCAUGCGGCGCAUUAGCUGGUUGGCGGGGUAACGGCCCACCAAGGCGACGAUGCGUAGGGGUUCUGAGAGGAAGGUCCCCCACACUGGUACUGAGACACGGACCAGACUCCUACGGGAGGCAGCAGUGAGGAAUAUUGGUCAAUGGGCGGGAGCCUGAACCAGCCAAGUCGCGUGAGGGAAGACGGUCCUAUGGAUUGUAAACCUCUUUAGGCGGGGAGCAAUGCCGGGCACGCGUGCCCGGAGGGAGAGUACCCGCAGAAUAAGCAUCGGCUAACUCCGUGCCAGCAGCCGCGGUAAUACGGAGGAUGCGAGCGUUAUCCGGAUUUAUUGGGUUUAAAGGGUGCGUAGGCGGAUUUUUAAGUCAGCGGUAAAAUGUCCGGGCUCAACCCGGGCCGGCCGUUGAAACUGGGGAUCUUGAGUGGGCGAGAAGUAUGCGGAAUGCGUGGUGUAGCGGUGAAAUGCAUAGAUAUCACGCAGAACUCCGAUUGCGAAGGCAGCAUACCGGCGCCCGACUGACGCUGAGGCACGAAAGCGUGGGGAUCGAACAGGAUUAGAUACCCUGGUAGUCCACGC